ensembl:lncRNA
GGGGGGGGGGGGGGGGGGGGGGGGGGGGGGGGGGGGGGGGGGGGGGGGGGGGGGGGGGGGGGGGGGGGGGGGGGGGGGGGGGGGGGGGGGGGGGGGGGGGGGGGGGGGGCCCCCGCCCCUUUAAAUUAUUGUAAUGCCCUUCCUGAAAGAACGUGAACAUGCGUGCCUUUAUUUUUCUACUUCUCGAAAUGUUUUUAAGGAAAUCUAUUUUGUUAUCUGCUAUUUAUUAAAGAGUUUAUUCUGCAUACUUACCCGUGUAAAUUAUUUCCUUAUGUGCUAUUCAAUUUAUUUAAACUAAAGUGGUUAACUGAACUACCAUAAGCAGAUAAGCUGCCAUCGCGUGUUUUUACUUUGCUUUUCUGUGCAACACCACAGCACAGGUAUCGCCCGCACCUCCUGGCAAGGACAUUGUCCAAAAGGAACGUCGUUUAAUCUGAGGACAGGGGAAAAAAGCCUGGACGAUGGGUUUUUUGGGAGAGCUUUAGUAGGUUCUGUCAAACCCCUUGGGUACAACCCAUGUACCGCUAAGUCAGGAGCAGCACCCGAGGCAAUGAAAAUCCAGAGGGAAACGCCCUCGGGCCGACACCUCCCAAGGGCGGGGAAAGCCCCGAAGGCGUGUCUGGAAUUCCCUAUGGAAUGCGGGGUUCGGCCAAUAAUCCUUUGCCGUGUGAGCUCGGCCUCGCAGGAGGCAGGUGCCUUCAACAGCUCCUCACCCCCUGGCCCUGCUCCCCAUUUCACCCCUUCUGCUUUCUGCAGAAAUCCCUCUGUGGGACGAGGAGGUUUUUAGGACGUUUCUGUCCAAAGCUGCCGUGCUGCGUUACCCAAACAAUACGUGGAUCUGGAGAGAAAAGCCUGAGGAGGGAAAAAGGGCUCUAAGCAGCUGUUCUGUGCUGGUUUAACUAGAUUCCAGUAAGCUCAGCUCCAGUUUCUUUUUGGGGAUGGGGUAGUGGUAUCACUGCAGUGAAUUCAGGAGCAGAGCUUAUAACCAGGCUGCAGCGUUUGCCUUGGCUCCUGCUUAAAUUAAUCAACUCGGACAUUGCAGUACCUGAUGAGUGGAAGACUAGUGAAGCAGAUGGAAUAGUCAGUCAAUACGUCAAUAAUGUCAAUAUGCAAUAGUCAAUCAAAUGAAAUUUCGAUCAUAUAGAAGCACAAGUCCAUCAGAUAGAAUCUAUGCAAAAAAAUGAUUGUAAGAGUGCAUUUUGUAAUGGAGAGUGAGUACUUGGGUAUCGUAACUAGACUGACCAAAAACUUAAGAAAUUUUCACAGUUCUGUUAAGUCAGCCCUCCCACGUGUAAAACAGGUGCAUAAACUUUAAGUUCUUCCAUUUGGUAGCUUCCACUAAAUAAGGGAACCAAAACUUAAGCCACUAAAGCAGCAUCCAGGUUAUAAGGUUUGGUAAGGCUAAAAUCACCCUGAAAAUUGCUGGUUUUUCUCCCUCCUGGUGCGUUGCUAUUUGCCAUAGGCUCAGCGUAAUUUAUACUGCGGCUGAAUCAUCCCCAGUAAAAGAAUAAAAUUUAUUGGAAAUGGCUCGCCAGGAAGGUGGGGGCUUACCAUCCCUGAAGGUGUUUAAGGAACGACUGGACGCGGUCGGGGUGGCACGGUGAAGAUCUGUCAAAGAUUGGGACUCGGUGAUCUCAGAGGUCUUUCCUAACUUUAAUGCUUCAAAGGUGAGAAAAAGGUGAGAAAAUACGACCUGGGGACAGAUAACUCCAACAACACCAAUUCCCCUCAGGCACUGCAGCACGGGCUGCCGCACAGGGAGCGCCCCAAUAUGGCGGCGGGGGGGGGGGGGGGGGGGGGGGGGGGGGGGGGGGGGGGGGGGGGGGGGGGGGGGGGGGGGGGGGGGGGGGGGAAGCGGCCUCCCCGCCAAACUCUCGCGAGAUCCCGGCGAGGGCGCUUCCCGUCCCCACCUGUGCUCUCGCGAGAUCUCCGCUGAGGGACGAGGAGGAGGAGGAAGAGGAAGGAAGGAGGAGCUGCCACCGCCGCUCCCCCCGGCCGGGGGGGGGGGGGGGGGGGGGGGGGGGGGGGGGGGGGGGGGGGGGGGGGGGGGGGGGGGGGGGGGGGGGGGGGGGGGGGGGGGGGGGGGGGGGGG